rnacentral:lncRNA from 1 species
AGAAGAAGAAGAAGAAGAAGAAGCAGCAGCAGCGGACAUUGUUUCCUUUUCUUCUCCCUGUGUACAAGCUUGCUUUACUAACUGUGGCCUGCGAUGCCUCAUGCCCCCACUGCCCUCACCCAUGCCAACCGGGUGCAUUCCCACCUGAACAUCCGUACAAAUAGCAGCGACGCACCUGAGAGCUGCAGGAUGUUCUCUGGGAGCAGAUUCAAAUUCUGCGUGCACUUGCAAACAACAGCGUUGGGAGCAACCUUCUUCUGAGGAUUCUGUCCACGAUACUUCCCCUCAUCCUCCCCCUCCCACGCUUGUACACUCGCAUGUUCUGCUUAACCGAUGCGUGCCAGUCUGCACUGAGCUUCGUGCCCUUUGCUUACCACUGCAAUGCUUUGGCGUGUAAUUUUCAAGCAUGCCCGCACGGAUAGGCUCUUUAAAAUGCCCCUUACUUUAGGAAGUGUUAUGUGCACUUUUUCGUUCCAAGUUUGUCUGGUGCGGAAGGACGACCUCAGCACACGCCUCUUGUCUGUUUUCCCUGGAGAUGCAAUCUUCUCAACCCGUGGAGCAUCAUGCUGUCAGGGCUGUGAUUGAUGUACAUCACUGGCGUUCUUUGGUUGUAGGGAUAAAUGAGAAUCUUGAUCUCAUCAUGGUUCCCUGAUUCAUGGGCGGACACAUGAGAAAUACACGGCGACACAUGAUAAACACAUGACAACACAUGAUAAACACAUGAAGGCACAUGAUAAACACAUGACGAAGCCCCAUUCCUAACAGAGGAUGAGCCAAUUACAUAAACAACCAGUGGUGUCUCUGGCCACCAGUUAGGCACAUUUUUCAGAAUAUAGGAGAGAGCAGAAGAAUGGAUAUUCCCAGUCACUGUUGAGGGGAAUUACCAACUGUCAUAACCUGGAGGGUGAGUUAGGUGGAGUUACUAAAUAUUUAAAUGCAGACACCAUGGGAGGAAUUUCUUUUCCUUAGAUUUAUCUACCCAAAUAUUUUCAUUGCCCUCUUAAUCAUAAUAUUGAGGGGGAGGAAUGAUUGAAAACUCCAUCAAAAAAAUUAAAUGAACUGCAUGACUCUUGGACUUUUGGAGGGUAGCUAUGCAGCCAUCUAAUGGAUAUUGGUGCCUGUUAUGUGACAACAUAGGAAAGUCCUCAGAAAUAUAUGCUUAAAGCAAAGGGUCUGGAACAAUACAGAAAUGGUGAGGCUAUGCAAUUUGCUUUUGUAGUUAUAUUCUAAAAUGCAAAUAUACUAGGGCCAGUGAGACGGCCCACUCUCUAGAGCGCUGCCAUGCAAGUGUCCAGACCUGAGUGUGGAUCCCCAGAAUGCUGCGAAAAGCCAGUUUGGCAGACACUUGUAAUCUCAGGAAUGGUUAAGAUGGGAGGCAGAGACGGGGAUGACUAGAUGCUCACUGGCCAGCCAAACACAAUCCACUUGGUAACAUUCUGGGCCAAUGAGAGACUCUGUAUCAAACAAAACAGGGAGGGUCCCUGAGCAUUGCCAGUAGACAUGACCUCUGACCUCCACAGGCCCAUUGGUGCGCACACCCACGUGUGCACACCCCACCCCCAACAGGCACAUUUUACUAACACAUGAGAGGGAAUGAGGAGCACCUCACCGAAACAGACUCACAAUGACUUUCUUCUUGUUGGCUCUCAGCACACUGGCGUCAUCUCCCAGGGCGGGCUUCUCAGAUUGCAGCAUGCCUGAAAAACAGCCAAGUAUCUUAUAAAAUGCAGCUUCUGAUUCAGAAUAUGAGGAGGUAGGGCCAAAGAUUCUGCAACCAGCUCCCAAGCAAUGCAGAUUUAUAAGGCAUGUAUUGAGCUCAAGAUUCUAAGGGGCAGAAGAGGAGAGCAUUAGCCCAUGCCCUGGUGUGAAGGUAAGAUGCGGUACGUUUUAUUGCUUCUGGAAAACUACAGGCUGUUUGAAGAGAGACAAACCCCAACACUGUUUUUGAAAGUGUGGAGUGGAAAGUAAGUGUUAGAGACCAUGAUGGCAGGCAUAGGGAAAACUAGCCAAAGGGUUUGCAGUGAGGGAGAUGGGGCUCAGUGCCACUAGGGUGCAGGAAGGCACUUACAAGGGAUGGGAUAAAAGAUACAAUGUUGCUAAAAGGAAAUACAGGGGCUAGGAAGGGUUAAAGAAUACAAUGUUGCUAAAGGGAAAUGGGCUAGGAAGGAUCAUAGCUAAACAGACCUCAUAGGAUUCUUACCGCCUAGGGUGGGUAGGCAUCCUGUGCAGGGUGAUGAGCCCAGUUCCAUAUCCAGAAUGCUGUGAUAUCCAGGAUGGGGUUCUUGUUAAAUAACUUACCUGUGAUCUGUGUGGAAAGUGGGUAAGACAAGAAAGUGUACAGGUCAGACUGGAAGGAGGGUCAGCAGCUGGAUGGACACUUGGCCAGGAAGAGGAUCUUUGUAAAAAGACAAUAGAAAGAGUGGGAAGGUAUCCAGCAAACACUUGGCUAUGCGCGUACAGGUGUUUAUUCAGAAAUACCGUGUGAAGACUGAACCAGACGACGCACAGUGUAUGGUAGCAAUCCCCCAUAGCCUCCUCUAGGAACUCGAACUUCCCCAACAGUUUCCCCUGCCUUGUUUCCUGGUCCUGAAUAAAAGCCUUCAUUCUGUGCUUUAACAAAUGUCAUUCUUUUCCUUCAAUAGUUGACAUUUUCCUUUUAUAGAUCAAGAUGCCCAUCUCACCCUUACUACAGGGGGUGGGACCAAUUCCCUCUUAUGUCCCUUAGGACAUUGGGACUUGAAAUGUGGCCUGAAAAUACACAUUUUCUGAGAGUUAGUAAGGAAACAACAACAACAACAAAAACAACAACUUAGGCCAUGAAUCAAGCCCUCUGAGACUGAAAAACUGUGAAGUUUUAAAGCUGUGAACCCUCAAAUUGCAGGUCUUGAGGAGCAGCCUACAAAGUGUAUAUUAGUAAACUUUAUGCAUGUAUGAAGUGCAUGUUAGUGAGUCAUUGCGGCUACAUGCUUAGCAGGCCAUUCUUCUCUGUGACCUGCUGAAGGUUUCCGUGUGCUCAGCUGUGUUAUGAGGGGAGUCAAGAAGAGAAGCCACACUCAACAGACGCUAUGGACUGAAAGCUCAGCUCUGAUACAGGGAGGCUGCAGAGUUGCUCACUGAAGCUGGAAUAGCCAGCCAGGGUCUGCACAGUGGCUGGAAGUCAGGGUGAGCCCUUCCUGUCUGAAAAGACAACGGCUAUCUGUCUUCUGGUAUGCCCCGGGAAGGGAUGAUGUCAUGAACAUAUAAGAUGUCUGGAGAUGCCAGUGGAAGCCCGUUGGCUUCUCCACCUCCCUCUGUCCCAACACACAUUUGGCCUGGCCUUGCCUACUUCAGCCCUACUCCACCAGCAGUCUAAAGUGGCAUUGCGAACACCCAGAUGCAGGUUUCAGCUGUGUGGAACCUUGGAUACAGAGCCCAUCUUUCACUGGUUCUCUUCAAACAAUUUCCAAAAUAGUUUAUUGAAAUAGAUACCUCCAGCUAUGCUUUUACUGGUCAGGAUUGCUUUAGUUCUCUGGGGUCUUUUGAGCUUCAAUAUGAGCUCUAAAGUCAUGGUUUCUGUUUCCAUGGAAAAACUGCAUCAGGAUUUUGAUUUGGGUGGCAUCGAACCUAUAGACUUCUUUGGGUAAAAUUACCAUUUCCACAAUACUGAUCCUUCUGGUCCAUGUGCAUAGCCAUCUUCUCAUCCUCUUGUGUCUUCAUCCAUUUCUCUUUUCCGUGUUUUAAAGAUUUCAUUGUGGAUAGCUUAUCUUUCAUGCCUAUCCUCUGUGGUCCUUGGGGCAGCUACAUCAUGAAACACAAUGUAUCCAGGCCAUCUGGACAGUGAGCACUCUGACAGCCACACAUGGGGACUCUGUGUCUUUGGGUCCACGUGGAGCCUGUGGAUAAUCUCCUGUGACCGACACCGUGCUGCAUUCUAGUCUUAACCAGUUAGUAGGGUUUUAAUGAAACACCUGAAGAUGCAGAGGCACUGAGGGGUGACCCACAGCGCCAUCACCGCUGGCCUUCUUUUGAGCAGAUGCUCCUUGCUGCUGCGCUGUUUGCAACACUUUAAAGGAAACUCUUCCUGGAGAAGUCAAACAAGCUGACACCUUUAUUUGCAGACUUUGGAGGAGAUGUAUUUUGGGUGUUUAUAGAAUUUGUCUCAUUUUGUUGGCCAAAUUCUUCUCUUGUGGGUUUUUAUCUGCAUUUCUAAUCAUGAUGAUGAAUUUAAUCUCUUUGUUCAUAUGUGUGCACCCCAUACAGUGUUAUGGACCCUGCAAACUGUCAACUAAAGAUCUUUGAUUUAAUUAAAUCAAAGCCAGUCCCAUCUCUGGUUUCAUUUUUC